UACGUAGGGUGCAAGCGUUGUCCGGAAUUAUUGGGCGUAAAGCGCGCGCAGGCGGUCCUUUAAGUCUGAUGUGAAAGCCCACGGCUCAACCGUGGAGGGUCAUUGGAAACUGGGGGACUUGAGUGCAGGAGAGAAGAGUGGAAUUCCACGUGUAGCGGUGAAAUGCGUAGAGAUGCGGAGGAACACCGAUGGCGAAGGCAGCCCCCUGGGUCGACACUGACGCUCAGGCACGAAAGCGUGGGGAGCAAACGGG
rnacentral:rRNA from 1 species